UUCUUUUCUCUUUUUUCUCUUUUCCCUUUUUUUUUCUCCCCUCCCUCCCCGCCUUCCUUUUUUCCCCUGUGUUUUUUAAUGGGUAAAUCGAAGGGAGUUUCCCCGCUGCCGGGGAAAUACCUGUAAUUUAUGUGUAGGAAAUGGAAAAAAUAUGGUAAAAGGUCACGUUCGCCGGUGGACUUUAAAAACGAUUAGAAUCUUAAUAUCCGUCGUAAAAUACGGACCCGGGCAUUAUCAGCCGAGAAUGUAUUUGUCUUUAGCGCCAAUAUACCGUCAGGAUCUUGCCAAUAUUGAUGCCUUCCCCGUUUACUUCUUUUUCCCCUCCUCCCCUUUUUUUUUUAUCACGUUCCAGAAGAAUAUGAUCCAUUUCUGAAGAUUUAUCUCUCGUCGCGUCUUUUUAAUUCUCGUGAUUAUAAAUAUUUAGCUUCUUGUCACAUUGUUGUUGGGACAUCGGUUUAUCGAUUUUGAUUUCUUAAUUUCCACUGAUUCAGGUUGAACGAGAAGCACGAUUCUCUCAGCAUGAUUUUAUAAUGGAUUAUAAGGAGAAAGAAGAGGAAUUUCCCAUUGGGAAAGAUUAAAGAAUCGAUCCACGUCGCCUGUCGUGCAAAUUGUCGCAAAUGAAAAUUAAUAGAAGGAGGAGCGGAAUUCGAAACGAUUUUUUCUGUUCUUGUUUCUCAUUUGAGAAAAUUUGAAAUUUUAAUACCUUAACUACCCCUUGUGCAAACGGCGCUGGUGAAGCGUGUUAUACAGGGUGUUCUGAAACGGCACAGUGGAUGUAUCAACUGUUUCCCAGCGUCUCUGACGCUUUAAUUGCAAAGCAUUACCCUCUUUUUCCUUUUUUCUUUUUUUUUUUAGCGAGAACACGUACCAAAACUGUUCGAUUAAUUUUUUUUUUCUUUUUUAAUUACAUCAUCGCGAGUAGUUUGAGCGUAAAAAUUUAUUCAACAAAAUUUUCGAGAAAAUUUUUCAGUUUUAAACGUAACGUGAUAUUCCACCCGAAGAAACGCUUGCAAACAAUUUUUAUAUCCAUUUUGCCGAUACAUUAUUGACAAAUUUACUUGAAGCGAGAAUGGCACGAAAUUGGAGUUAUGGAUUGCUCAUCGAGAUAAAAACACGCGUGAAACCAAAGAUAGAUAUAAUUAUUAUUAUAUAAGUGAAAGUAAUAAGCAUCACGUCUUUUGCUGUACAAAUGAAACGAUUUUAUGAGAAGAGAAGGCAUUAAUUUAUUACAGAUUCCUCGCGAAAGAACAAUUCAAAAAAACAGGAAUACCGGAACAAAAAGAAGAUCAUCAACCUUUUCAAAGAAAAAUAAAGAAAUGAAUAUCUUUUGAUUACCAAGAAUUACGAAAGGAAGGAAAUUAUGGAUCAACAUGGCGGACUGGAUCCACGCGAAGCCAGCGCUCCUAGGAGGGCCAGAAGAAACUUUCGAAGAGGGGGGAACGGCGAUGAUAUAUUUUUAUCCCUUUUUUUUUUUUUCUUCCCAAUCUCGUAAAUAUUCUCUUGAAGCGGGUAUAUUAGCAAGCGGCACGUUCUUGGCAAGGAGCUGCUGCUAUUGACAGGGCAUUCAUAUUAGAGAACGACCACACACGCCAUCCGCUCUUUCUUUUCCGCCACAAUGAAAACGACAAUUUCCUCGAGGAAGGAGCCCUCCCUCUGUUUCGACGAUUAUAAAAUAUCACCAUUCUCUUGGCCGGUGACCAGGGGGAGAGGGGAAAGCAGUCAGUGGUGUCAAAAGGGAGGGAGAGAGGAUCGUGGACAAGAACGUAUUGAUCGAGUUAUAGUCUUCAGGGGCUCGAGAGGCUCUAUCCAGAGAGGCUGAUGGGAGCCAAUGAGAGGCACGAAGGGUGAAUUUGGAGCAAGAAUGGCGACCGAAGGUUCCCAUCGAAACGAAUCCCUUGCUAAUGGACGUGUAUGUACAUGUAACGCGUGGAUAUAUGCCUUGAUCUGGCUUAAUCGCCCCUGAAAGUGGUGUAUAUAUAUAUAUAUUGAUCUUCGAUCGAGAUAACUUUUUGCACAAGGUGCUAAAUUAAUGGAUCGAAAGUCUGGGGGGAAGGGUGUUUGAAUUGGUUCGUUUCGAGCGAUUCCGACGAUUCAUUAGAGAAGUAAGAAGAUAAAAUUGAAAAGGAGUUAAUGAGAAAUCUGGAGGCUGAAUUUAAAACGGGCGGAAAGUUCGGGCAGGAAGUUUCUCGACGCUUGCUAAUUAGAUGUUUCGAUCGGCUCUGAAUAUUUUACUCGCGAUCAAAGUUCUGAGCCACUUUGAGGGUUACUGACUUUUAAACUGCUCUAUUCUUUGUAAAAAAAAAAAAACUGACCGCUAGAUUGAUUGGAAUUUUUAUUAUCCGUGCUGUAAAUGGUUCCCUUAA